rnacentral:rRNA from 1 species
GUGAGGAAUAUUGGUCAAUGGGCGGGAGCCUGAACCAGCCAAGUCGCGUGAAGGAAGAAGGAUCUAUGGUUCGUAAACUUCUUUUGCAGGGGAAUAAAGUGCAGGACGUGUCCUGUUUUGUAUGUACCCUGAGAAUAAGGAUCGGCUAACUCCGUGCCAGCAGCCGCGGUAAUACGGAGGAUCCGAGCGUUAUCCGGAUUUAUUGGGUUUAAAGGGUGCGUAGGUGGUUUGAUAAGUCAGCGGUGAAAGUUUGCAGCUAACUGUAAAAAUGCCGUUGAAACUGUCGGACUUGAGUGUAAAUGAGGUAGGCGGAAUGCGUGGUGUAGCGGUGAAAUGCAUAGAUAUCACGCAGAACUCCGAUUGCGAAGGCAGCUUACUAAGCUACAACUGACACUGAAGCACGAAAGCGUGGGGAUCAAACAGGAUUAGAAACCCUGGUAGUCC